UUGUGUGCGUAUAGGAGUUGUCUCUAUGGGUGUAAUGUUGUCCAGGACAUCUUUAAAUUCAGCGUACACUUUGGCAUAACUUGUUUUAUUAGCAUGAAAGACACUGGACAGAAGCGACGCUGCUGGCAGGCCAUAAGCGAAGACCCUGACCAGUUCUUUUGCUGUGUUGCAUUUGCAAAUGAAGAGCUUGCAUAUUCAUACCUGUUCCUUGUAAAGGCCUUAUAGAAAAGAAUUGCAUUUUUGGGAUGGGUGCCAAAACGACAGCCAUUAAUCAUAUGAAGAAA